GCGAGAUCUAGGGUUUUCAGGAGAGAGAAAGAGAGAGAUUGGGCUUGGAAAGGAACCCGAUACUAAUUGGACCUAAAGUUCGAGAGGCAAUAGUAUGGCUCGUUGUGUUUUGAUAAGGUCGUGUAAAGAUAUAAAAUACAACAAGGUACCCCAAUGGGGAAUGGACCAUGGAUAUCAUCAUAUUCGGAGCCUCCUCCAUAAUUUAGGAGGAACAAUGGCUGAAAAUUAGGAUAGAUUGAGGCACGACCAUGUAUUCCAACAUGCGUCAGUUCGUAGGGAGAGGGCAGUGCGCUCGAGGCCACGAGUUAGUGCUAGUUCAUUUGACGCGGAAAUGUCGACUUCACAUGGUCGUGUGUCUUAGGCUUCACAAGGUCGCGUGUCUCAGACUUCGACCUCCUGAGGGCACGUGUCUCAUGAUGACCUUGUAGCUUAUGAAGCACCUGAAGCCCAUCAAGAAGAACUUCUUGUUGUUGCUCUCGUUCCUGAUAGUUUUUUAAGAGGCCCUUGUGACACCUCCUUACUUCUUCUUUAUGCAAAACAUGUUACUAGGCAUGUGUGAGAAAGAGGUGUAUAUUUUUUUUUACUUUUCGUUACACCUAUUUCAUACUAAUUGAGUUGAGACUGAUGUUGAUAUAUUAAUUUUUAUAGGAGCAUGGAACGAUAAAAUCUGUAAAUCAUGCUAAAAAUAUUUUGAAUUUGGAAUAGAAUGUAGUCACAUGGUUUCAAGAUGUAUUUUGUUACUCUGGGCUGACAUGUUUAUGAGCCAUUGGAUACAAGAUCAUUCACCAUGGCAUGUUAAUGAAUUUUGUGGAGAGAUGGCAUAAAAAGGCAUCUCUUUCCACAUCCCUCAUGGUGAGGUGUUCAUAACUCUUGAUGGUGAUGUUAGAACAAAAUUGGUUUAUCAUAUAUCCCUUAUGUUUUGAUGAUAACAAAGUAUUUAAAGAAAAAUUGAGUAUAUAUUUGUUCAAGUGUGCAAGACCAAAGACUAAAU